AAAACCCUAGCCACCUCCUAUCCCUAUAAAUAUACUCCCAUUCUCACCAAAAAGCUAAUUCCAACACUUUGGUAAAAAUCCCAAAAUUCUCUAAACACUCUUUCUCUCUAAAUUCUAACUUUGGCAUCGGAGGUUCUUCGGCCAAAGCCCCCUCCAUUCAUCGUGGGCGCGUGAGGCUCUUGGCCUUAACCUAAGGUGUUAAUUGUUUUGUAGGUGCAAAAUCGUCCAAGAUCAAGGAGGAAGAAAUUUGCAUCCACAAAUUGGUGCUUUCAUUGAGAGUUGAAAUCCAUACUCGUAGAAGACUCUCGCACAAAAAAGGUUUUUUCUUUAUUUUCUAGUCCAUUUGAAUAUUUUUCAUACGUUCUUAUUAUUAGAAUUUUUUACUUGCAAAGGUUCUUUGAUAAAACGUAUAAGCAAAAUAUAAUGGCUAGAAAUUUAGAAAAUUCCACAAGUGAAAAUUCUAAUGUUCAAGAAAUGGGAUUGCGGAGAUCCGUGAGGCUAAAUGCGACAAUAAGGGGAGCGGCAUCAUCAUCACGAGCUUCAACCAUGGGAACCACCGUGGUGGCUACUUCGGUAGCUACCCGCGGCGAGGUCCAUGGUGCCUUCACCACGGCCACCAUGGGAACCACCGCGGUGGCUACUUCGGUAGCCACUCGUGGCGAGGUCCAUGGAGCCUUCACCACGACCCGGAGAUCCGUAAGGCAAAAUGCGACAAUAAGGGGAGCGGCAUCAUCACCACGAGCUUCCACCAUGGGAACCCACCGUGGUGGCUACCUCGGUAGCCACCCACGGCGAGGUCCAUGAUGCCUUCACCACACGGCCACCAUGGGAACCACCACGAUGGCUACUUCGGUAGCCACUCGUGGCGAGGUCCAUGGAGCCUUCACCACGGCCCGAGCCGUGCCAUCCAAGGCUCACGGUACCAAGACCACGAUCCAAGCCGUGCCAUCCAAGUUCACGUGGACCCAAGCCCAAGCCUCGCAUUCACAUGCACCGCGUAUUGAGCAGCCUACUCCCGUGAUCCAGCCUGCUCCCGUCGAGCAACCCACUCCCGUGGCCCAGCCUGCUCCUGCCAAGCAGCCCACUCCCGUGGCCCAGCCUACUCCUGCCAAGCAGCCUACUUCCGUGGCCCAGCCUGCUCCCGCCAAGCAACCUGCUCCUGCCAAGCAGCCUGCUUCCGUGGCCUAGCCUGCUCCCGCCAAGCAACCUGCUCCUGCCAAGCAGCCUGCUCUCGUGACCCAGCCUGCUCCCAACGAGCAGCCCACUCUCAAGGCCCACACUGCUCCCGUGGCUUUCCAAGCAGCCCAAGUCGGCCCAAAACUAUCUCAACCAUCUGGACCUACCAUCGAGCCGGGGGCAUUCUCACCACAUUUUUUCACGGAUUUGACAUUUCCCAACUCAAAUCUCGCGCCCGGAGUCUACCACCAUUCCACUGCUCAAGGAGGCGCAUUCAUUCCAAGCUCUUCCAAUCCAAAUGGCGAACAACACUUGUCUCGACAAGUCAUAGAGUUGACGAGCGCCCUUGCACAACAGACAACUUUGGUGAAUCAACUUUUGCAACGCAUCGGGAUCCAACAUGCCCCGGACGAGGUAUCCCGAAGUAGGACAAGGGCAGACGAACCUUUCCAGCAGCAUCCCAGCAAGCAGCCAUUCGACCAGCCACGAGUUGAACGUUCAGGCAGUGUACAUUCCCGAUUGGGCCCCCGAGAUAGCGUAUACUCCCGUUUUAGCGCGCGGAUGAGCGUGUACUCUCGACUAAGCCAACGGAUGAGCAUACAUUCACGGUUGGGGUCACACUCCGAUAGUCAACAUGAGCAACCUUCCAGACAAAGUGUUCAUUCGCGGCUAAGCCCACAAGGAGCAUCAUCCACCUCACAUCAGAGUAGGCAGCACGACGGACGGAGAGAAGCAGUCACUCAAUCCAGCUCAAGUUCAACCAGCAGCCUGCGAAGAACUCGCUCGCCUGCUAGGAAUGCACCAUAUGCACUGCAUAUGCGGCAUAAACGAGCCAAACACAUGGAAGAGCAGCCUAGACCAGCAAGUCAUGGCUGGGGGCAGCCGAGAGCUGCACUACCCCAACAAAGGCAAAUUCAGGAAGAAGUAGAGAGACUCUUGACCAAGCGAUUGCAUGAUUUCCAACGCAAUGAGGUCACCGACGAGGCACUACGAUGGAACAUGACCAACAUAAGCAGGUCACCCUUCACGGACGAGAUCGAGCAGGCAGAGCCUCCACGAGAGUUCAGCAUGCCAUAUUUCACAUCUUUCAAAGGGGAUGAAGACCCGGAGAGACACUUAAAGCGCUACCGAAGUGCAAUGAUCCUUUAUCGAAACAACGAUGAGCUCAUGUGCAAGAUAUUCGCCACCACUCUACAAGGCGAGGCGCAAGAUUAGUUCUACACCUUGCCGCCACAAUCCAUCCGGGAUUUCUACGAACUUUCUUUGGUUUUCACCAAAGAAUAUUCAUCCUAUCGCUCGAUCAAAAAGAAGUCUGAUCAUUUGUUCAACGUCAAGAAGAACCCAAAGGAGUCGCUUCGCGACUAUGUGAGGAGGUUCAAAGUAGAGAAGGCAAAAAUAGUCGGAUGCAACGACUCGAUAGCUAGAGCAGCCUUCCAAAAAGGACUUCCAGCAGACCACCCGCUAUUCGGAAAAUUGAUCAUGAAAGAAGAUCUAACUCUGGCAGACUCUUUUGCUUUGGCAGAGAAGUAUGCACUUUGGGAUGAGGCUCGCCAAUGCACAUUCAAGGACUUGAAGAAGUACCCGACAUCACCUCCCUAGAAGCAGUGGAUGACUUAUUCACAUGUUUGACGUUAUCUAAAGUAGCAAUAAGCUCUACCAUCAUGCGAGAAGAGAUGGGGGCCCGACUACCUGUAUUCCACAGUUACCUGUAUUCUACAGUUCAAAAGCUCUCCUCGAUGUUAUUAAAAAUUCAAAAGUUAACUUUGGCGAUAGUUGUUGCAAUAAGCUCUACCAUCAUGCGAGAAGAGAUGGGGGCCCGACUACCUGUAUUCCACAGUUACCUGUAUUCUACAGUUCAAAAGCUCUCCUCAAUGUUAUUAAAAAUUCAAAAGUUAACUUUGGCGAUAGUUGUUGCAACCUAGAAGCACAAAUUUUACUUUCAAACGCAUGCAAUCAUCCUAAUGACGUACUAUUCUGCCCAAUCCAGACGCGCGACGAUAAAGGCGUAGACCCUGGCGGAUGUAAAGUUUUCUGAUGAACGCAACACUGGAAAGACACACUUGAAAGCAAGUUUUAUCCUCGUCACCCUGAAAGAUUCUACAUAGGAGCAACAUGUACCGGCAGUUGAGUACCAUUUCUUGCUGCGCAUCAUACGGCCCUAGCCGACCCUUGCUCAAUGAUUCAACUCUAGAGUGGCCCAAUACCGGCAGUUGAGCAUCUCCUGUUGCGUAUGACAUGGCCCCAUCUCCACAGCUCCCUACUGCACCUUCACGCCGAGCCUAGGUGACGCAACAAAGCGGCCCAACGAUGCCUCAGAAGUAGCCGAGCACACUCUAGCUGCGCCUACUCCACCCGAUGGAGACUUCUGCCAUUUACAUGUCGACGGCGCAGAAAAACCUUCGUCACUGCCGGCAGAGAAGGCUCCAAAAAGAUGGAUCCCAUCUGGGAAGGUCCGUACAAGAUCAGCAGAGUAGGGGGCAAGAGUAAUUACACCCUCACCACCAUGAAGCGGCAAAAAUAUUGAAAAAAAAAUGGAUGGCCUACAAUCUGAAGAAGUACCAUGUGUGACCUCCCGCUACAUCAAAACCCGAAGAUUCAAUAAGCUCGACGGGCACCACCUCACAAGCUGAGGACUAUCCAGUUGUUAUGCAGUUCCUACCUUACAGCUAAAGUUCUCGUUCGUUUUACUCGUUUUUCAAUGAGGAAUUUAGAAGUAAUCACAACUUGGCUUGGUUGCAUGCUUACAACAACUAAUCACUCUUGCACUUCAAAAGAAAACUGCACCCUUCUUAGGGACUCAUCGCAGGAAUUGCGCCCCCCGAGUGACCAACCAUGCUCUCCAGUGCGAGAGGGUAAACCAAUUCUCCGACACCCAUAUGGGUCAACUCUCCAAGACGGGAGGAUAAACUUUACACUCCGAAUAUCCAGACAUGGAUGAGCCUGGCUGCCCUAGUAUAACUAGAUGCACGAUGGCUUGCGCCGGGAUUCCUAGAAGUAGCCGCAAUGGUCUUUUUCAAGGUUUAGCUAACUGAAGGAUUUUGGGUCUCUUGGCCUAAUCCGUGGGGAACCGGGCCCUAGAGACGGAGAGGGCACAUUACGCAGUAUAUCCGAUGGAUGGCUGCCCUGGAAUCCUAAAGCUGCUACCGAGUGCACUAAGGUAGCCUACGGAUUCCGGAAGACUGCCUACGGCUUGCCCUUCGAGCAGUGAAGCCGCACUAGACUUAUACAACCGCACAUUCUUGUGAAAGGUUAGACAAGCUAGCGCGCAUAUACGAAGUUUUAUCCACUGCCGACAUGCUACGUAGUCGAUAAGCUUCACCUCUGCCAAGCGCGGAACAACCUACACUAAGUCCUAAAGUGUUGUGAUACUUGCUACGCAACCUACGGAAUUGAAGAAAGUCAAAGUUAACAGCCUAGUGGUUACGCGGACUUGUCUGCUUCUGUAAGUAAGGCAUCCGGCUGCCAACCCUAUGGCUAACAACUUUGCAAAGUUCUACACCAACACCUACGGCUGCAUAGGCUACGCGAGUUUGUCUGCUUAUAAAAAAGUAGCAUGCCUGCCACUGGUCUAUCAAGUCUAAAGGUUAGGGCAUGAACAAAAAAAGUGAAGAUGAAGAAAAACGAAGGAAAACAUAUUUAUAAACAACUAGCAAAGGUUGAAGGAGUUCAAGCAAAACAAAAGCUACAAGGAAAAACAAAGAAAAUCCUAAAGGCUACCUAAAAUACUACACUACAGCAGCUUGGACAUUCCACGACUACUCGGUCGCCACACCUUCAACAGCCGUAACGCUCUUAGCAGCGGCAUCAUUCGGCGCUUCACCCCCGGCCGCCCCAGUCUGGGCACUAACUUCUCCAACUACUUCACCAAUGGAAGCCUUAAAAGUAAAAGCAAGCAAGUCUUCCGGAGAAAUAGAGAAGCUCAUCCACUCUCUUCUUAGCAUAAGUAGCGAAACGAAGCUCAGAAAUUGCAAGCUUAAGAUCUUGAAUCUGAGGCGAAUAAAUCUCAGCAGCAAAGGGAGCAGGCUUUGGCGCCACUUUAGCAGCAGAGUCCACCUUACCACUCUUCAUAAUAGCAAGUCUCUACAAAGGUGAACCGGACUUGGCUCCCAAAGAACGUCCUACAGACUUCGGCACUGGGGGCAUGAUAAAACCUUUACGCUGAGUAAUCUUAUCCACAAUUGUACUAGCCAUUCUCAACAUGGAAGACGCCACAUGCUCAGAUUUAGCAGCCUUACAUUUCUUCCCAUUGGAAAAUCAUGUCAAUCACAUACCUCUCGGUAGCAAGCGGACCCUCAUGAGCAGCAGAAGAAGUCUUCAGUUUUUUCUUAACUGGCAUCUCAUGAGCAGGCGGGGAAGAUCUCUUCUUUCCAUCUUCAUUCAUAGUAAGCUCCACGACAGCGAUCAGACGAGCCAAUGCAUCCGCCUUGAUCAUCUUUACCUCCUCUUUCUGGAGCAGCCCACAUUUCUUUCGGCAAAGAGGACUAAGCAGCCAACGACAUUCAUGGUACUCAGCAGGGGAGCUCAACCUAGCAUUCCAACAGGCAGGAGGCCUGCAUGCCCAACAUUCCAGCAGCCCAUGAGACCCGCAAUCUCCUUAUUUCUCUCAAUCACCAGCCUGGCCCGAGUCAGGUCCAAGAGCCCAAAGGACAUGAGCCAUGCGGCUCGCCUAGCACUGCGCCCCAGCGCCACAAUCCGCGACCCUAGUUGCAUAAGCUGCCUUUUGGCUCAAGCCAAGCCAAGCUGCCCAAGCAGUGGUCCCUGCCACAACAUCUCCUCGGCCCAUGCCGAGCCAACUCCUGGCCCCUGCCAGCCGAUGUGCCGCACCACCCCGACGGCUGCCCCGCAAUAGCACUAUCCAAGAAUAAGGCAAGAAAAAUUAAAUUUUUCUUACAUCGGUGCGGCACGAAGAAGACGAAGAAAGCAACGAAAGACGGUCCUUUGCACGGGCAAGAUGUAGAAGAUUGCUAGAGGAGGGGGAACAAAUAUCCUCUAAGCUAUCUCUCUCUUGUAGGGUAGAAUAAAUCGCUCUCCAAAGUUGAUUUAAUAACCCACUUAAGGUGGACUUAAAUAGGCUUUGAGAGAAAUUUAUUUCCCUUUCCUAGAAGGAUUUAAUUUCCUAUUAAAGAGAGAAUCAACAUCAAAAUAGGAAGCAGUCUUAAGUUUCCUAAAGCAAGAAGAUCUCUACACCUGCUGCCCUUUUUUGCGAGCAGCCCAACAGGUGUGGGGGCAUUUGUGGAGCCAAAAAUAUUCACUAGGCGACACAUGGACUUUUGGACAAAAGAGGACAAAAAUACCCUCGAGGCAUACCGGGUUUCCUACACGCGAGCAGUAGAGAAUCAUUUUUUCAACCAAGUCAAAAGUGCCCAAAAUAGGUAUCAACUUAAAACCUAAUUUAUUCAUAUAUUUCCCAUUUCAUUAUUUAGCUAAUCAAUUAGCUAAAUAAUAUACUUAUUCCUUUCAUAUUUCAUAAAAUCAUAAUAAAUUGACUAAUUAAGGGAUUAAUUACCUAAUCAAUCCCUUAAUUGUCAAUUUGAAACAUCCACUCAAACCUAAAAACACAAGAGGGCCGGCUAUCCCAUUGAAAAACCUAAUCCAUUACCUUUUUUCUACCUUUUCCCACCAUUUCUUCCUUUUUAUUAGCCAAUUAUACAAAAAACCACCAAAACAUUCAUUUUAUGUUUAAUAGCCAAAUAAAUUGGCUAAUUAAACCUAAAAACCCUAGCCACCUCCUAUCCCUAUAAAUAUACUCCCAUUCUCACCAAAAAGCUAAUUCCAACACUUUGGUAAAAAUCCCAAAAUUCUCUAAACACUCUUUCUCUCUAAAUUCUAACUUUGGCAUCGGAGGUUCUUCGGCCAAAGCCUCCCCCAUUCAUCGUGGGCGCGUGAGGCUCUUGGCCUUAACCUAAGGUGUUAAUUGUUUUGUAGGUGCAAAAUCGUCCAAGAUCAAGGAGGAAGAAAUUUGCAUCC
rnacentral:lncRNA from 1 species